rnacentral:sRNA from 1 species
AUGUACUCCUGUGUACACUCCGGUUCCUGUGCUUCGGACUCCCCCGCCUGACAGCCGCUCGCUGAUUUUUUAAAC